CCAAAAAAAACACUUCGACAAGCGAGCCCCCUUUUCUCUCCUCGCACCAAUCCUCCUGUCCCCGAGCCCCUCGCAAGCGCUAGGGUUCCCCCACCCCCAUCUUCUGCAACCACCACGCCGCCGCCGCCCCCAUCUUCUGCGACCACCACGCCGUCGACGCCGUCCUGAAGCACGCUACUCCUCUCCCUUGCCAAGCCGCCCUGGAUCUUGCGGUGGAGCUGGCCGCCUCGUGGCCAUGGAGGGCUCGCCAGCCGCCUCCGGAGUCCCACAUCCCCAAGAUCGACUGGAUUGCAGCCGCCUAGUCGAGGUCGUCAGCCUUGACGGGCUCCUCCAUCACGUCUGGUCCCAUGGCUCCUCCGGUACUACCUCGCCUGUGCUUGCUCCCGUCCACGCCGACGUCUUGCUCGGGCCGCGGCAUGACCUGCUCGCCACGCCCGCCCAAACCCCAAGCCACACUUUCUCUUCCACCUCUGCGUACUCCUGGUUGCAGCGCCAGCUCGCCACGGGCAAGGAUCGGCAGCUCGCCGGCGUGGCGCGUGGCAGGGGAGAGAAGGGGGGCAAGAUCGGCGGGGCAGAGUUCUUCCGGAAGGACGGCGUGGUGGGCGACAUGGACGGGUACCUCAACUACCUGUCCCUCGAGUAUGACUUCGUCUCGGACACCAAUUCUUCUUGACUGAUCUGCUAUGGGUGCGGUUCCUUGUGGCAGAGUUCUCUAUAUUCCAAUUAAUUUCAAAGCAGAUGACAAAUUGAGAUCUACUUGUCAAUUUAUACUGUAUCUCAGAUCACAUUUGUGCCUUGAAUAUUAGCUUCUUCACGGCAAUUUCAAAGUUACAUGUACCAUAGUAAGCCAAUCAAAAUCUGCACCAUAUUAGUCUGAUGCUUUCUUACCCGCUCAUCUUGAAUUAGUAGGCACUUUCCAAUAGGAUCAGCUUUGUUGUACAAAGUCACUUGUAUUUUCCAUGUUAUUUGCAGGGUAUCUUCAAGGUCCAUGCUCCAAAUAUAAAUAAGAUUUGGUCCGACGGGCCCUUCAUUGGCGUACUCCUGGGACACCUCCAUGUAGCACCAAGGUAAAAAAACACCCUGUUGUUGGUCCCUUUCAAUUGAAAUAUUCCUUUUACAUGCUCAGGUCGUAAGUUUGUGAUCUACAAGGUUUAUAUGAAAAAGGAUUUCCAAUUAUGAUAAGUUGUAGCUUAUUGAUCCCAACUGUUAGACCAUGUGAGCUCACUGAUUUUGCCGUCUGAAUGUCUGUAGAGUGAAACAAAUGUAGCAGUCGUAUGCCAUCUACUUGCCGAGUUGCAUCAUUAGCCUGAGCAGAUAGCCAUCUUGCAUAUUGUUUGCCCCAAUAAUAUUUCUCAUUUUUCCUGAUGCAUCUUUUGCCCCCAUUGGAGUUAUGGUUAUCUUCUUACAUGGUUGACAUGUCAAUUUUUUAAACAAGGGACCGGUCAUAAUCAGCAAUCCUGAUUAGCUUAUGCCUUGCCUCGUAUCAAUUUUGAGUAUUAGUUUGUUCACCAUCAUCAAUAAGUGGGACCUUUCGUUUCUUCACAAAUGUUGGCCAACCCACCAAAUCGUUCAACUCAUCAACUCACAAAAUGCACGACCAUCAAGCAAGCUAGCACAAGCUAUUUAACUAAAGAAAAGUCACUCUGUAGUGUGACUACAAAUUAGAUUACAGAGGGAAGUUUGCAAAUCACUAGCUCUGAAAGCAUAAAAUAUAUUUCAGUUUCUAGGCUGCUACAUUAUUUUGAAACAUGAGCUUUUUUAAAACUGAGUAUUUAACGUAGCUUGUUGUUAUUGUCAAACUGAAAUGGCGAGUAUGUAUUUGUUGCUUUUUGUUUAGGAAAGUGAAAAAAACAAGAUGCCGUUUGUAUGCCAGGAAUGGCAUAUGUGAACGACUCGGGUGGUAGUUUUUAGGGUAGGGGCAAGGGGCAUUCUUUAUAAACUGCCAUGGCAGUUCUUUAAUUUAGUGCAAUUUUUUGAGAAGCAGCCAUCCACAGGAUCUUGAUUGUGUGGUUCUGUGUGUGUUCACUGGGACCUCAUCACCAGCGAACGUUCGCCGGGUAUUGUUCAACAUGGCUCUGGAUAAUUUAAUGAUUCAAUCAAAUUUCAUUGCAAAGUAUACUGGACCAGGCUUUCCUUCUUUCUAAUGCAGUGUUAGUUGGCAUUAAGUUGUGAAAUCCAAAUCCAUACAUUUACAGUUCUUGUUGUUCUAAUUACACAAGUAUUUUCACACCGAACACCAUCUCAGUAACCAAACCUAAUAUAGUAGUUAGUUUUGGCAUUAGACACAACAACUUUGACAUUGAUAAUUUCCUCAUAUAUUUAGUAGGACAAUAAACUUGUCUAGCAUUUCAUUAUGAGUUGCAGGCUCUGAAAAUAAAUGUAUGUGCCCCCUCAAUGAUUAAGGGUGUGGUUUUUGAAUUAUGCAUGCUGACAUGCAUUGGCAAUCAUUAUUAAACAGUAUUCCUUUUCACUGAAAUAUAACCAUGUAAUGCUUAUGAUUUAAUCUGGUUAUCUAGACAACUAAAUGUGUUAAAGUUAUGCUUAGUUUCUUUUGGCAUAUGUAAUGCGUGGAAGGAAACCAGUGUCUUUUGAUAGGGAUUUCUGGAGGUAACAUGCCUCUGACUGUAUGCACUGAAUUUCAGAUGCUCUGUUUAGAAGAUGUUUUCUUCAGUAGUACUUCAUAUUUUUAUGAUUUCCUGUAACUUGCUGAUAUGGCACCGAUUUGCCGCAUGGUGUGCUACAACUACACUCCAGGGGAAUAUUUGUUCAGAAUCUUCAGUCUUGUAAUUUUCUCCUUGAUGACAAUGACCAUGCCGUGCUGGGGAUUUGGGAUUCCAUCCUUGCUGUUUGGACUUCCGCUGCCAAAUCCAGAUCUUAUCCAAAGACUUGGGACUCCAAAUUACAUGCCCCAGAACAUUGGCGACCAAACAUCAGAGGCCCAAUUAGUUACGAGACUGACUCGUUGGGGUUUCGCUUGUAGCAUUCUUGAGAUGUUCAGUGGCGUUCAGACUUGGUGUGCCAAAUCACCAGAUGAGAUUUAUCAGUCAGUUGUCCUGAAGAAAGAGAAACCGAUGUUCCUGUAUAAUUUACCUACGGAGGUCGCUAAUGUCCUCUCUGGCUGCUAUGAGUAUGACUUUCAGGAUCACUCCUUGAUGUUAGAUAUCUUACAGUCAUUUGAAAGAUGGAUUGAGGAGGUCAGAGAUGUAUAACAGCCGUAUUGAUCCAAUUGACAAGUUGGAGGUGACACAUGAACGUUGGCAAUGCAAAAUAGCAUAUAUAAAAUAACUGCAGCUCAGGCCAUGUAGUUCUACAACAACCAAGGAAGAAGUCCGUUUUUUAAGCCGACCUCGGCCAAGCAUUUAAGCUUAUAUGGGUGCUCUCUAUUUUUCAGAGAUGAGGAGGUGGGAGAGGCGCCGCCCAAGGAUGUCAGGGGAGGAGGGCAACAAGGCUGGGGAGCGGAGGCGGAGGCUGACGGGGAAGAGAAUGAUCAAGCAUGUAAAUUGAGAGCACAAGCUCAUGAUUUAUCAAGGGAGUGGCGCUGCCGCCGGAUUAGAAAAUCAUAUCUCACAUUAAGGUGUUUUUGUCUUCUGUUUUUGUACAAAUUUGGUGCAGGCAAAAUUUUGAUGAUAUAUAUAAGAUGACUAGCAUUAUCUUUU